rnacentral:rRNA from 1 species
GAGUGAUGAAGGUCUUUGGAUCGUAAAACUCUGUUAUUAGGGAAGAACAAAAGUGUAAGUAACUAUGCACGUCUUGACGGUACCUAAUCAGAAAGCCACGGCUAAAUACGUGCCAGCAGCCGCGGUAAUACGUAGGUGGCAAGCGUUAUCCGGAAUUAUUGGGCGUAAAGCGCGCGUAGGCGGUUUUUUAAGUCUGAUGUGAAAGCCCACGGCUCAACCGUGGAGGGUCAUUGGAAACUGGAAAACUUGAGUGCAGAAGAGGAAAGUGGAAUUCCAUGUGUAGCGGUGAAAUGCGCAGAGAUAUGGAGGAACACCAGUGGCGAAGGGGACUUUCUGGUCUGUAACUGACGCUGAUGUGCGAAAGCGUGGGGAUCAAACAGGAUUAGAUACCCUGGUAGUCCACGCCGUAAACGAUGAGUGUUAAGUGUUAGGGGGUUUCCGCCCCUUAGUGCUGCAGCUAACGCAUUAAGCACUCCGCCUGGGGAGUACGACCGCAAGGUUGAAACUCAAAGGAAUUGACGGGGACCCGCACAAGCGGUGGAGCAUGUGGUUUAAUUUGAAGCAACGCGAAGAACCUUACCAAAUCUUGACAUCCUCUGACCCCUCUAGAGAUAGAGUUUUCCCCUUCGGGGGACAGAGUGACAGG